UGACCAGGGAUGGGAAUCGAACCCACAAUGUUCCGCUUACCGGGCAGAUGCCAUGUCCACUAGGCUACCCUAAAUU
rnacentral:tRNA from 1 species